GGAGUUGGCCAGGCAAUCGCGCUUCGUAAGAGGCGAGGAAAGUCCGGGCUCCAUAGGGUAGAACGCCAGGUAACGCCUGGGCGGUGAGAGCCGACGGAAAGUGCAACAGAAAAUACACCGCCGAUGGCUUUGGCUUGCCAAAGCACAGGUAAGGUUGAAAGGGUGCGGUAAGAGCGCACCGCGUGACUGGUAACAGUUCACGGCUGGUAAACCCCGUUCGGAGCAAGACUUCUAUAUCAAUAAUUAUGCGUGACCCGCGCUGCAUCCGGGUAGGUUGCUUGAGGGGCUUGGUGACAAGCUUCCCAGAUGAAUGAUUGUCCUCGACAGAACCCGGCUUAUCGGCCAACUCCACCU
rnacentral:RNase_P_RNA from 1 species